CUUCACCUUCUCUCUCCACUCCCCACGGUCUUGUUGACGUUUUCCGGUUCAGUUUUCUUGUUUGCAUGAAUCUUACGUUUUUCUGGUUUUUACUGUGUUUGUUGAGGAGGAUUUUCCUCUUCUUGAUUUCGCUGUGAAAUUCUCCCCUCUUUUUUGGAAAUAUCUAUGGUAACAUAGCAUUCUUUGUGACGGAGUCAUAGAUCUUUUCUUACUGCUAGUUUCUCUCAUUUUCUUACAUUUUGACUAUCCUCUUUUGUAUGUAUUCACCCUCUUUUUCCUUUAAUUCUUUACGGGAUGGUUCUGUUUAUGUAUUCACCCUCUUUUCCUUUAUUCUUUACGGGAUCGUUCUGUUUAUGUAUUCACACUCUUUUCCUUUAUUCUUUACGGGCUUGUUCUGUUUAUAUUGAAUCGAUUCUGGUAUAGUGCUCUAAUAAAAAAUUAGAUAGACAGGGAGGCAAAGAGGCAUCACAAGAAGAAAGCGAGAGAUUGAGAUUUGAGAGGGAUAGGAGACCUUGAAGCUUUUGCCGAAGGUGAAGAUUGAGUUCAAUGCAUUCGACCCAAGAACCGCAUUGUGCAUGGUCCAUGGAGUUCCGGGCGCAGUGUAAAGCUCGCAAGGUGCCUGUCAGCUGAUAGUCAAGCGCCGCAUCGACGACCACCAGCCUCAGAUCACCUUCACUUACUCAGCGGUGCUGAGGAGGUAAUUGAAGCCACUUCCACCGCCGCACAGGCCAUUCGCCAAGGCAUGCUCGAAAAGAGUCAGAUGCUCGAAAUGGAGCAGACUUUCCGCAAGGCUAGGGAGCCAUGGCCUCUCAUCGUCCCGUAGGCCGAGCUCGACCAACCUGCUCCCGGCACUAAGCGACGGAAAGCAAUGGAGAAGCAAAGGGUUUUGACGAUUGCUUGAGGACAAGUUAAUGACUGGUCUCCGACUGUCACCCUUCAUCAGCGAAAUGGAAUUCUGUAAUAAGUUUGAUGCCUGAGAGUUGAGAGUUGAAGUUUCACUUGUUUCUCUUUCAAGGCGUGUUCAUUGUAGAGUGAUGAGAGCCCGAGAAUUAUGUAUCCAGCCACAUUUGUAACUGUGCCUUUUGUUUUGCCAAAAAAUUGCUUUUAGAUACAGUUUCCAUUCGAAGUACUUACUGAAA